GGAUGUGAGGGCGAUCUGGCUGUGGCAUCUGUCACCCCAUUGAUUGCAGGGUUGAUUCAGCAGAUCUGGCUGACUAGGCGGGUGUCCCCUUCCUCUCUCAAUGCUCCAAGUGCUUCCAUGAACAGCGACAUUUACUUCUCAGAGCUACGCACUUAGUCGAAAAGGAUGACCACUCCCACAGAGGAGGACCAUUCCUCAGUCUCGGGUGUACGAGUUGCUGAGCUCCCCUGCUAGGACCCCCAAAUAAGCUUUCAAGGAAAGGAUGUUGUAAUGUUCUGUCUAAAACUCUUUAAGGCUUAAAUCUAUAUCUGAGGUCUU
rnacentral:snRNA from 1 species